GCUCCUGUGGCCAAGUGGUUAGAGCGUCCGCCUCGGAUGCGGGAGGUCGCGGUUUCGCACCCCGGCUGGGUCA